UACGGAGGGGGCUAGCGUUGUUCGGAAUUACUGGGCGUAAAGCGCGCGUAGGCGGCUUUGUAAGUCAGAGGUGAAAGCCCGGAGCUCAACUUCGGAAUAGCCUUUGAGACUGCAUCGCUUGAAUCCGGGAGAGGUGAGUGGAAUUCCGAGUGUAGAGGUGAAAUGCGUAGAUAUUGGGAGGAACACCAGUGGCGAAGGCGGCUCACUGGACCGGAACUGACGCUGAUGCGCGAAAGCGUGGGGAGCAAACAGG
rnacentral:rRNA from 1 species